UUCCAAGUCUAAGCCACUUUUAUGGUUGGAGCAAAGAGUGGAGCCCUUCUCUUUUCAUGGUAGAUGAGCGGACCGUGUGUUUAACAACGGAAACGGAGGAGAACCGUGGAUCCUGGACUGAUGAGAGCCCUGUAUUGUGCCUUGUGCCUGGAGUGUGUGUGAACUGUGAGCCUCUGGCCGGGUCUUUUUCUUUUCCUCGUC